AAGUCGUAACAAGGUUUCCGUAGGUGAACCUGCGGAAGGAUCAUUAAAGUUUGCUUAAUUGCAUUACACAUGUUUUUUUAGAGAACUUGCUUGCAAGAACACUAAUAAUUUAGUUUAGUCAAACGAUAAAAAUAUCAAAACUUUCAACAACGGAUCUCUUGGUUCUC
rnacentral:misc_RNA from 1 species